CGUCAUACUUCUUUGCGUUAGUCAAGGGAACUGCAGAGCGAUUUCACCUAUAUUUCUGUACAGAACGUUUUCGUUCAUUUAGUAUUUUAUCGUUCAUGCGUUCCCGAUUAAACAUAUUUUAUGGCUGUAACAGGACGUUGCAACGGAUACUUUGGGAUGGGCUGUGCAGACCUUAUGUUAUAGCUUGCUCUGUGUGGACAUCACCGCCACCGUGGAAGAAAACGGCAGCUCAUGGCACCAGGCCUACACAAACUCGGGCUCCAGCCCCCUCCCAGCACCACCCGAACACUUGUGCAAGGCCUGCGGAGGCCAGUUUGACACCCAUGUCUGCGUGGACUGCAAAAACAACUUCU
rnacentral:lncRNA from 1 species